UGCUCUACCAGUGAUGGUCAAAUGAAAAUGUCUGAACAUAUGAGUUCUAUGUGAUAUCAGCAUUUUAUCUGAGGUAAGAGCA
ensembl:snoRNA